AAUGGGCGAAAGCCUGACGGAGCAAGACCGCGUGAGGGAUGACGGCCUAAUGGUUGUAAACCUCUUUUCUCUGGGAAGAUAAUGACGGUACCAGAGGAAUAAGCCUCGGCUAACUCCGUGCCAGCAGCCGCGGUAAUACGGAGGAGGCAAGCGUUAUCCGGAAUUAUUGGGCGUAAAGCGUCCGUAGGUGGUUAAUCAAGUCAGCUGUUAAAGAGCGGAGCUCAACUCCGUUAGAGCGGUUGAAACUGAUUGACUAGAGUUUGGUAGGGGUCGAGGGAAUUCCCAGUGUAGCGGUGAAAUGCGUAGAUAUUGGGAAGAACACCGGUGGCGAAAGCGCUCGACUGGGCCUGAACUGACACUGAGGGACGAAAGCUAGGGGAGCGAAAGGGAUUAGAUACCCC
rnacentral:rRNA from 1 species